rnacentral:misc_RNA from 1 species
CACCGCUAUCAAAGGCUGACCGCAGCGCCUGUACACGGCGGGCGCCAGUAGGCCGUCCCACUGCUUGAUACACCGCUUACCCUUCCCUCUAUCCCCCCCACACACACACUGCAGCGAUAGGCUUCGGCAUCCGGCAACUCGCAUACACGCGCGGAUACGCGGGGAGAAGUCGAAGCCGCCCGCGGAGUAAUGCGUGCAAAGCGCAUCCGCAGCUCAUUGGCCGAGCGCAUCGAGGACGCGUGCGGUGCGCCUUCAGCAACCGCAAACAGAGGAAAACACACGAGGGCGUCAUUUGAGUGUGCGCGCACGUUUGCGUGGUGAUGCUGGGAGAGUGAGAGGGGGAGGGGGAGUGCGCUGUGUGCUUCGUACACCACCGUCUCUCUUCUCUGCUGGCGCCGCGCAUCAUCGGCACUGGAAGAGGGGUUGCGCCUCUUUUUCUUUCCCGCGUGCGCUGCCUUCACCCCUUCUGCCUGUGGUGUCUGUGCCGCUGUCCCGGCACACGCCCACAGACGUUUCUUCCCGGCUGUUUCCCUCUUUAGUGCGGCGGCAAUCUUGCUGCGAGCCCUUACGCACGAGCAAUGAUAGGUACGCCCACAUAAGCAUAACCAUGUGUCCCGUGCCUCAUCAAGGGCUGCAGCGCAACCGCAGUCCUCGCGUCUCCACGGCGCGAAUGCUUCAACGGGCGCUGUUGCUUGUGGCCCUGCUGUGCAGUUUCUCACUUAUGACGGCGGUGGUGACGACACCCCGCGGCGACGGUGUUCAUGGCACUCUUUGCGUCUCUGCCUUACACGGCGCUGUAUUGGGGAGGGGGAAGGGCCUACGCGCGCCACCGCUCACUGUGCCCUUGCUGCAGCCUGUAGCGCUACCGCACCAUACGGGUUCCGCUGUUGUGGUGGCCGCCGCGCGGGCUGACGGCGAUGUUGACGACAUCGUCACUUUUUCGCAAGCCGGCGAUGUGUUCGCCUUGGAGGAGAGCGCUUCUGCAUCCGUGCCGUCUUCCUCGAGCUCCGGCGUCAGCCCAGGCGCUAACGGGAGGGGCAGCAAAGCAGCAAGGGCUCCAGAGACCCCGGCUUCCUCGUCGUCGUUGUCCGUAGAGCCGUUGCCGCGGGGGUCGUCCGCGGUGUCAUCGUUGAGGAGGUCGCUGUUAUUGCCCUCAGCGGCCGACAUUGUUGUCGUCUUGGUCGGUGAAGGCGACGCGGGCACAGAACUGCCCCCCUCAUCGUCAGCACCCCCUCCCGACAACUUCGGCACGCGCCGCGCACCUGCGAUGCGCCUCGCUCUCCUCGGUCUCAUCGCCCUCGUGGUGCCCGCUGCUAUCAUCGCCCUUGCCAUGUGGUGCGUCUGCCGCCGCACGCGGUACAAGCGAAAGGUAAAGGGCUUGCGUCUCAACGGCACUCGUCAACCCGGCGAGGUGGAUGACGUGGACAUGGGCAACAUUGUCAGGGGCGGCGAUUGGCUGAACCUCGACGCUGCCACCCCAGGCAGAACUAAGAUCGGCGCCAACGGCGCGCGUUUCUCCAUUUUGGCGCCGUCGACCGCUGCUUGCGUUCGCAUGGACGCCACGUUCGACCCGAUCGGGCAGCAGGCCGCGGAGACGCGGCAGCGCAAACGUGCCCGGCGGGUGGCUCGUUCCGGAGGAGGCGUUCCGCCGUCGCUACGUCAGCAUGCAAGAGGAUCAUUGCUUUGCGGUUGAGGUGGCGGAGCUCAACUACCAGCGUGCCGUGGAAUACGUUCAUCAAGCGUCAGCCGCCGGCGCGGUCGCGACACCUGCUCGGCGGAGCGGCCACUGUGCUGCUCUCUUGACGGCCGGUCGCGACGCAGGGCCGCUGGUGGGUCUCCAGCGGGUACGGUGCGAUCAGGCAGCCAUGACGGCUACGCUGAGCACGCUUGCGAAGGAGCUGGCUGCACUGUCGCCGUAGCGCGAUGCGAGACGUAUCGAGCGCAUGCCAGUGGGGUGCUGGGCAACACUUGGCGGCGCGUGGCUCUUUCUCACUGGUUUGGGCACGCCCACGCUGUGGGUGUGUCGGUGUCUGCCCUGCCGCUCUCUCUCCUGAUCUCUCGUCCUGGCAACAACAAC